rnacentral:rRNA from 1 species
CCUACGGGUGGCAGCAGUGAGGAAUAUUGGUCAAUGGGCGUGAGCCUGAACCAGCCAAGUCGCGUGAAGGAUGACUGCUCUAUGGGUCGUAAACUUCUUUUAUAAAGGAAUAAAGUGAGGCACGUGUGCCUUUUUGUAUGUACUUUAUGAAUAAGGAUCGGCUAACUCCGUGCCAGCAGCCGCGGUAAUACGGAGGAUCCGAGCGUUAUCCGGAUUUAUUGGGUUUAAAGGGAGCGUAGAUGGGCUGUUAAGUCAGUUGUGAAAGUUUGCGGCUCAACCGUAAAAUUGCACUUGAUACUGGCGGGCUUGAGUACAGUUGAGGCAGGCGGAAUGCGUGGUGUAGCGGUGAAAUGCUUAGAUAUCACGAAGAACCCCGAUUGCGAAGGCAGCUUACUAAGCUGUGACUGACACUGAUGCUCGAAAGUGUGGGGAUCAAACAGGAUUAGAUACCCCAGUAGUC